rnacentral:rRNA from 1 species
AGCAUGUGGUUUAAUUCGAUGCAACGCGAAAACCUUACCCACCUUUGACAUGUACGGAAUCCUUUAGAGAUAGAGGAGUGCUCGAAAGAGAGCCGUAACACAGGUGCUGCAUGGCUGUCGUCAGCUCGUGUCGUGAGAUGUUGGGUUAAGUCCCGCAACGAGCGCAACCCUUGUCAUUAGUUGCUACGAAAGGGCACUCUAAUGAGACUGCCGGUGACAAACCGGAGGAAGGUGGGGAUGACGUCAAGUCCUCAUGGCCCUUAUAGGUGGGGCUACACACGUCAUACAAUGGCUGGUACAAAGGGUUGCCAACCCGCGAGGGGGAGCCAAUCCCAUAAAGCCAGUCGUAGUCCGGAUCGCAGUCUGCAACUCGACUGCGUGAAGUCGGAAUCGCUAGUAAUCGUGGAUCAGCAUGUCACGGUGAAUACGUUCCCGGGUCUU